CUUGUACUCCCUCCGUCCGAAAAUACUUGUCAUUGAAAUGGAUGUAUCUAGAUGUAUUUUAGUUCUAGACACAUCCAUUUUGAUGACAAGUAAUUCCGGAUGGAGGGAAUACUUG
rnacentral:pre_miRNA from 1 species